GCCCAAGGUCACGUGGUGAGUGCGCUGUGGAGACAUGGUUUGUGCCAGUAUUCAGGCUCCAGAGCCCACCAUCAACCACUAAUUUGGGAACAGCGAAGAGCAGAGAAUCUUGGGAUUGAGCAGAGGAAGACAGACUGGGGGCCUCUGCCCUGCUGCGACUUUGGCCAUUUGGUUGCUCCCCGUGGCACCCCUGCCGAUGACCCAGGGCAGAAUCCUAGGCCACCCUCCCUGGACAGGCACAGAGCCCAGGACACCCGCUUGCUCACAGAAGAUGAGUCCUGGGCAGGCCUCCCUGGGCACUGGAGAAAAAUGGCCUACACUGUCCCUGAGAAGCAGAGGACUGGAAGGCCCUAGAGUUGGGGCCCAUGUGGACACUGGUUUGGGGGUCCUUUGCAUGUUGUUUGCAUAGGGCCCCCCCCACACACAUCGCUUCCUUCCAGGGACCUGAAUCUGCCCAAGGGCCCAGCCCCCCGGCACUGUGUGCCCUGCUUUCUCACUGACAUAGUUCACUGCAGACCCCCAUCUUGACCAGCAUGCACCCCCAGAAAGUGUAGACUCUCUCUCCAGGCCCUGGGGAGACACUUCCAUCCUCAGGGGUCUGGAUCAAAAAACAGACAAAAACUUGAGAUUUCUUUCCAUACAAAUUCACAAUCACUGUCUGUAUAAAUACACAAUCACGGUUGCAGACAAUCACAGCAAAUAUGCUGCCUUGCAGAAUGAACAGCCCUCUCAGAGCAAAGCUCCGGACCCCAGCUUGAGAUACACUGAUUCAGACCAACCCCACAUUUCAUGAGGCUCAAGGCCAGCUAAGCAGGGCUGCCGAGACCCUCUCUCAUGCUCCUUCCAGCUGGACCAACAGAUCAGCCCCACUGCGGCAGAGCGCGCCCCCAACCUGGGGCUCUGCAUCUCUGCUUCUCCCAGCCACCUCCUUGCUGCCUCUGUUUCUCUGUGUCUGUGCAUCUGGGAACAGGUGUGUGUCCACCAGUCUGUCUGCCUGUGCACACAAACGUUUGCCCUGGAGACUAAGGGAGGGCACCAGCUGGAAGGAGGCAGUCACUAAACGAGUUCAAGUGUGGUGGACAGGGCCCGGGGCACCCCACCCUUGCUCUGGCCCCUGAUGCACAUUUUACCCCCUUACCCGCUCGGCUUCUCAGUUGGGGCAGGGACUGUUCACAGCACUGCCACCUUCAUGCCUCUUGUCUUUGGGCCUUUGCAUGUGCUCCACACGUGGCCAUCUUUUUCUUUUCUUUGCUGAGGAUGCCUGUUCAUCCUUCCAUGACAGUUCAGAGGCUCAGAAAUCCCCUCGAUAUGGAGGACUUACCGAUCUGCUGCACAUCCCCCCAACUCCCACAGUGUCUGCCCCCUGAGCAGGCAUAUUAAAUUGUAAUUGCUCACUUGACGAUUGUGCAGACCCAAACCACAAGCUUUUGGGGACAAGGAGUGGUCUGAUCGGACUUCAGUCUCCUGUGCACAGAAGAGGCCAGAAGUGGAUGUUCAGUGAACGUAUGAUGGAUGGAUGGACAGACGGACGGACGAAUGGAUGAGUGUGAGUUCUUUCAGGAACAAAAAAGACAAAAGAAGUUAGCUCUAAUGGUAGAAUCUGAGGCACCGGACAGCUAUGGAACUGCUUUUGGAGAGGGGGCUGGGAGAUGGCUCCUGCCCCAUUUCAGAGGAGGAGAGUGGCUUCCUUAGCCGGAGGCAGGGACUCCUGGGUUCCCGAUGUGGGAAGAUGCGCCUGACUUGCCCCCUCGGAGCCCGGCGCCCAGUGCAUGGCUGGAAGACAGGAGCCUUCCCGAGCUCCUCCACCCUCAGCUGCCCACGCAGUCCCGGCUUCUAGGAGCCAUGACGCUUGGGGUGAAGUGGGGGGAGACACCUUUCAUCUUGUCUGUGUGGGUGAAACCCCGAGAUGAAACCAGGCUAAUGCAGGCCGUGGCCACAGGCCACGCACGGCGCCCCGGGCCAAGAAUGGCAACUCAUUACCUCUGGCCCCGGGAGACAGGAUCCUAAGGGAGCGGGACCGAGGGGAGGGGACGGCCGGGCUCUCGGUCACCCACAGCACACUGGAAGCGCCUUCUGAAUUUGGGACGCGGGUGCAUUUGGUUGGGAGCGGACCGGGAUCCGUUCUAGAGGCCGCAUUAGCAUAGAAAGCCUCCGUGUUGCCUUA